UAAUACCAGCACCUCGAGUGGUCAGGACGUUUAUUGGGCCUAAAGCAUCCGUAGCCGGCUUUGCAAGUCUUCGGUUAAAUCCACCUGCUCAACAGAUGGGCCGCUGGAGAUACUACAGAGCUAGGGAGUGGGAGAGGCAGACGGUAUUCAGUGGGUAGGGGUAAAAUCCUCUGAUCCAUUGAGGACCACCAGUGGCGAAGGCGG
rnacentral:rRNA from 1 species